rnacentral:rRNA from 1 species
UACAGAGGGUGCGAGCGUUGUCCGGAAUCACUGGGCGUAAAGGGCGCGUAGGUGGCGUCGCAAGUCGAUGGUGAAAGCUCGUCGCUCAACGGCGAGUCGGCCACUGAUACUGGGUUGCUGGAGCACUGUAGAGGCAGAUGGAAUUCCGGGUGUAGCGGUGGAAUGCGUAGAGAUCCGGAAGAACACCAGUGGCGAAGGCGGUGCUCUGGGCCGGAACUGACGCUGAGGAGCGAAAGCGUGGGGAGCAAACAGG